CAUGCAAUAAACUUGUAUAAAAUCAGCCAUCAAUGAUUUAUAAAAUCAGUAGUCACCUUCGAAUUACUUGAUCAUGUCCACUAUUCUAAACGUGGCCCUCGUUGUCUUUGCUGUCUUUGUUGGAACAGGGGCAAAAGAGCUCAAGAUCCACAAGGACUCUUUUGUGCGACUGUGGCCCACAUCCGCUGCAGGGCGCAUUCCUAAUUGCGAAAAUGGACCCUGGAUCAGUUGCCAGCGAGCCUCAGUGAACUUAGAGGCGCUGAGAAGCAAACAAUCGCUCAUCCUUCCUCAAGGAACAGAGGUCCAUUUGGACGAAUCCUCUCAAGGGCUCCUUCCGGGAUCCCAAAGUGCCACCUACUCCUCCAAGGAUAAUAAGCACUCUAUGAAAGUGAACUUCUUCUCCUCGGGUUCGAACGAGGUCAGUGGACUGAUUCGCGAGAACGGACGGGUGUUUGUUUUGGGAGCUUGCGACAAUCUGGGCGGAGAUUGCCAAGUCAUGGCUGAGAAUGACCCGAAUGCAUCCCCUGUGACUUAGAAGCGUUCCUCAGUUUUGGCCAUAGAGCUCGAGGUCCAGGAUAGACAAAUUUCCUCAGUCACCCCCACCACAACAACGGUAACCACAACAACAGUGACCACAACAACAGUGACCACAACAACAAUGACCACAACAACAGAGACCACAACAACAGAGACCACAACAACAAUGACCACAACAACAAUGACUACUACUACCACCACCACUGUCACCACCACCGUGUCCCCUGCCAAAGUGAUCAAUGAGUGUGUUAAAACCGCUGCCAGCAACGUUUUGUCCAUGGGGGCCCCUUAUGUCAUUGAUUACCCGGGCAGUGGAAAUUACGGAGAUUCGGUGUAUUGCUUGUGGCGAUUCUUUUCACCAAUGGGCACUAGGAUCCAGGUGACCAUACAAAAAAUGGACGUUGAGGGUACAAUGCCGGCCUGCAAUGAGGACAAGCUGACUUUCUACGAGGGGGGAUCAAAAUAUCAAACAAUAUGCGGGAAUGAAUUGGAACCCUACACGACCAUGUAUAACCGCCUGUGGGUUAUAUUCAGGUCAAAUGCAGCAUUGGCAGCAGAGGGAUUCAGGAUCACUUUGACAGUUAUGUAAGUUUUACCCACCUUCAGUGUGGAACCGUAUUAGAGAAGAGGCGCCAAAUUCGAAUCCCAGCUCCCACCUCUGCUAAGAACAAGAUUUAUCUGCAACUUUGGAAACCCUCGAACUGACAUUGGACCAAAGAAUGAAUGACGGAAAAAUUUUGGUCCUGACCUCCAGGUUGACCUCUGGAUAAUGAUGGUCAUUUAAAAAGCAUUUCUUCUAUGUAAAACAAAUGCGGAAUUUGAACCAAAUGGCCUAAAUACAACAAUUCAUAUCAAAACAA